rnacentral:rRNA from 1 species
CCUACGGGUGGCAGCAGUGGGGAAUAUUGCACAAUGGGGGAAACCCUGAUGCAGCGACGCCGCGUGAGUGACGAAGUAUUUCGGUAUGUAAAGCUCUAUCAGCAGGGAAGAAAAUGACGGUACCUGAUUAAGAAGCCCCGGCUAACUACGAGCCAGCAGCCGCGGUAAUACGUAGGGGGCAAGCGUUAUCCGGAUUUACUGGGGGUAAAGGGAGCAUAGAAGGGAGAAAAAGUCUGGAGGUAAAUGCCGGGGCUUAAACCCGGAACUGCUUUGGAAACUGGGCAGCUAGAGUGCAGGAGAGAUAAGUGGAAUGCCUAGUGUAGCGGUGAAAUGCGUAGAUAUUAGGAGGAACACCAGUGGCGAAGGCAGCUUACUGGACUGUAACUGACGUUGAGGCUCGAAAGCGUGGGGAGCGAACAGGAUUAGAUACCCUUGUAGUC